rnacentral:rRNA from 1 species
UACAGAGGUCUCAAGCGUUGUUCGGAUUCAUUGGGCGUAAAGGGUGCGUAGGCGGCGCGGUAAGUCGGGUGUGAAAGCCCGGGGCUCAACCCCGGCAGUGCACCCGAAACGACGAUGCUAGAGUGCUGGAGAGGCGGGUGGAAUUCCUGGUGUAGAGGUGAAAUUCGUAGAUAUCAGGAGGAACACCGGUGGCGAAGGCGACCCGCUGGCCAGCGACUGACGCUGAGACGCGAAAGCGUGGGGAGCAAACAGG